CGUCUGUUUGCUGUUGAAUUGGGUAUUUCCAGGAGACACAGCCAAUAAUUCCCUUGGUAUGCUCUGUGUAGGUCCUGCUUGGCUGGGAGGACCAUGGAAAAGCUGGAAUAACAACCAUGUAGAAGGCAACGAAGUUGUGAUCCCUACCCAGUUUUUGGGGCAGCGGGAGGACACUUCCAGGGCAGUGGCUCCCUGAGCACCCCCUAACAGUUCU
rnacentral:lncRNA from 1 species